CUUCUACUACUAUGAAUUUAAUAACCGACCUCUACAUUUGCAAAAAUUGCAAUUAAAUGUUUUUGCUAAUACGAUUUACUGUCGUUAUAAUAGAAUGGGUAUCAAGUAUGUUUACAUUGAAAAUAAUGAUCAAUUUCUUCAUAAAAACGAUAAAGGAGAAGAAGAUAACUUCAGGUACUUUAAUAAAAUGCAAUGCCUACGGCUAAAGCCUAAGGAAGAAUUACCCGGUUCCGUAGGAGAUAAGCAUUAAAUCCGCUAUAAUUCAACAGAAGAUAUGUCAAAAUAAAAUUAUCAUUUUGACCAACGAACUGAUUUAAAAGCUAAAAAGUUGCUCAUUUCAGUCUUAUGCAAUGCAGCGGUUUAAUUUACAAAAUGAUUUCUAUAAAAAAUCGCUGUUUCAAGAUUAAAAUGUUCUACGUGCAAUAAUAUUAUACCAUCAACCUCU